UACGGGGGGGGCAAGCGUUGUUCGGAAUUACUGGGCGUAAAGGGCUCGUAGGCGGCCAACUAAGUCAGACGUGAAAUCCCUCGGCUUAACCGGGGAACUGCGUCUGAUACUGGAUGGCUUGAGUUUGGGAGAGGGAUGCGGAAUUCCAGGUGUAGCGGUGAAAUGCGUAGAUAUCUGGAGGAACACCGGUGGCGAAGGCGGCAUCCUGGACCGACACUGACGCUGAGGCGCGAAAGCUAGGGGAGCAAACGGG
rnacentral:rRNA from 1 species